UACGGAGGGUGCGAGCGUUUGUUCGGAAUCACUGGGCGUAAAGGGCGCGUAGGCGGCUUGACAAGUCAAAGGUGAAAUCCCUCGGCUCAACUGAGGAACUGCCUUUGAAACUGUCUGGCUUGAGGCCGGGAGGGGGUAGCGGAAUUCCCAGUGUAGCGGUGAAAUGCGUAGAUAUUGGGAGGAACACCAGUGGCGAAGGCGGCUACCUGGACCGGUUCUGACGCUGAUGCGCGAAAGCGUGGGGAGCGAACAGG
rnacentral:rRNA from 1 species